UACGGAGGGCGCAAGCGUUGUUCGGAAUCACUGGGCGUAAAGCGCGUGUAGGCGGCCGGGCAAGUCGGAUGUGAAAUCCCGAGGCUCAACCUCGGAACUGCAUUCGAAACUGCUCGGCUCGAGUCCCGGAGAGGAUGGCGGAAUUCCCGGUGUAGGGGUGAAAUGCGUAGAUAUCUGGAGGAACACCGGUGGCGAAGGCGGCAUCCUGGACCGAGAUUGACGCUGAGGCGCGAAAGCUAGGGUAGCAAACGGG
rnacentral:rRNA from 1 species